rnacentral:lncRNA from 1 species
CUCCAGGUUUCAGAAUCACUGGACCAUUAGACCACAUCAGCACUGGACCCAGCUAAAGGGCAGAGAUUCAGAGAUCCCCAACUGUGACUAGUUGUGCAAGAAGCAUGCAGAAUGAUGAGAAACCUACAGCUCAGAAAAGAAACAAAUCGUCUAUAUGGAAGUCCAGUCUUGCUGUGGAAAGGCUCAGAAAAACAAGACCCUUAGCAUAUCUCAGGGAACUGAAAGGCUGUGGGGAAACCAACAGCUUGCUGCAACCACAGCCACAAGUCAGGUAAGCAUUGAGCCUGACAGCUCAGGAAAAUGACCCACUUCUUGCCAACUCAGACAAAAAGGCUUCACUUAGGCCUAGGGAAACUGUCUCUAAUAAGGCCAUCUGUUAACCGUGUCGCCUGAGUCCCUCUCAGCAAUUCCUCAUUCCCUCCCUUUCCACCUUCCACCCUGAAGCCAGACAUUAAGGCAGCAGAGACUGAGUAAAAUCAAGCUGUUGGGCUCAGUAAACAUUACUGAGCUCCAUGAGGGAACACGGUCCCAUUUUUUAGGUUCCCAUGUCCAAGGCACAUUUUGAUCACAUUCAUUUAGCAGAGAGGUGAAGGAAGAAAGCAUGCUGGCUGUGCAGCAGCAUCGUGCUGCAUCCCCUUGCUUAGGCAAAGUCAUAACAGACAGCAAAAAAUAAGAACUUGGCUACAGUUCCCAAGGGUUUGAACCUGAAUACACAGAACACGAGAAACCACACAACUCAGGAAGAAAGCACUGGGCAAGUGUUCAGAGGCCUUAUUGACAAUGGGCCCGCUCUCCUAUUGACUUGAUUUGUAACACAUAAAGUCACUUAAAUCAGGGGUCCCCAGCCCCAUACUGGUCUGUGCCCUGUUAGGAACCCAGCUGCACAGCAGGAGGUAAGGGGCAGGCCUGAGCUCCACCUCCUGUCAGAUCAGCAGCAGCAUUAGAUCCUCAUAGGAGCGUGAACCCUUUUGUGAACUGCGCAUAUGAAGGAUCUAGGUUGCAUGCUUCUUAUGAGAAUCUAACUAAUACCUGAUGAUCUGAGACUCUAACUAAUACUUGAUGAUCUGAAGUUUCAUCCCAAAACCACUCCCCCUACCCCAGUUUGUGGAAAAAUCGCCUUCUAUGAAACCAGCCCCUGGUGCCAAAAAGUUUGGGGAUGGCUGACUUAAACUUCUAGCAAUGAUCUGUCAAGUCUCUUCAUCUCAUCACAUAAGUCGGCAUGUAAUAUUCACAAAAGACCAAUCCAACCUCUGAAAACGAAAUGCUCAUUUUGGGGAAGUGACUUAACUCUUCCAGCUCAUCUCUGUCCCUCUUAAUAAAAAAGGAAAAAUAAAAAUAAA